UACGAAGGGAGCUAGCGUUGUUCGGAAUUACUGGGCGUAAAGGGCGCGUAGGCGGCCUGAUAAGUCAGAUGUGAAAGCCCCGGGCUUAACCUGGGAACUGCAUUUGAUACUGUCAGGCUAGAGAUCGAGAGAGGAAAGUGGAAUUACGAGUGUAGAAGUGAAAUUCGUAGAUAUUCGUAGGAACACCGGUGGCGAAGGCGACUUUCUGGCUCGAUACUGACGCUAAAGCGCGAAAGCGUGGGGAGCAAACAGG
rnacentral:rRNA from 1 species